rnacentral:rRNA from 1 species
UACGGGGGGGGCAAGCGUUGUUCGGAAUUACUGGGCGUAAAGGGCUUGUAGGCGGCCAACUAAGUCAGACGUGAAAUCCCUCGGCUUAACCGGGGAACUGCGUCUGAUACUGGAUGGCUAGAGAUUGGGAGAGGGAUGCGGAAUUCCAGGUGUAGCGGUGAAAUGCGUAGAUAUCUGGAGGAACACCGGUGGCGAAGGCGGCAUCCUGGACCAACACUGACGCUGAGGAGCGAAAGCCAGGGGAGCAAGCGGG